AUGGUCCUCGUCAAAGCGGUCCUCACGGCCAUCGCAAUUUAUCACCUCACGCCUCUAGACAUCCCCAUGGAGGUGCUAAAAGCUAUUGACAGCCUUCGGCGUGCAUACCUUUGGGCGGGUACAGACAAAGUUUGAGGUGGAAAAUGCAAGAUUAAUUGGGAUCUCGUCUGCAAG
rnacentral:rRNA from 1 species